AAAGAGGGGAAGACGGAUCAGAGAGAUGGUUUGGCUGGAUUGGAAGAUGGAGAAAGGAUCAAAAGAAAUACAGGCAGCCUCCAGAAGCUGACAAGUGAGACAGAAAGUACAAAUGGACAACAGUAAAAUGAUCUACAAUCUAGAACUCUGACCCAUAGCCUGCAGCAACCAGUGGGGAAACCAGUCCAUUGUCUGCAGUAGCCAGCCCUUCAGGAACCCAGCCUGCUAUCCAAGAUAUAAAUUGACAUGGAAGAUGCCAGCCUUGACCCUGGAACCAGAACAGCUCUGCACUUGCCAGCUUCAUAAUUCCGAGCCUCAGC